rnacentral:rRNA from 1 species
GAUGAACGCUAGCUACAGGCUUAACACAUGCAAGUCGAGGGGUAACGAGAGGAAAGCUUGCUUUCCUUGUCGACGACCGGCGCACAGGUGAGUAACGCGUAUCCAACCUGCCCCCAACUAGGGAAUAACCUUGCGAAAGUAAGACUAAUACCCUAUAAUUUCCUCAGAUGACAUCUGACGAGGAAUAAAGAUUUAUCGGUUGUGGAUGGGGAUGCGUCUGAUUAGCUUGUUGGCGGGGUAACGGCCCACCAAGGCAACGAUCAGUAGGGGUUCUGAGAGGAAGGGCCCCCACAUUGGAACUGAGACACGGGCCAAACUACUACGGGAGGCAGCAGUGAGGAAUAUUGGUCAAUGGGCGGAAGCCUGAACCAGCCAAGUAGCGUGCAGGAUGACGGCCCUAUGGGUUGUAAACUGCUUUUAUACAGGAAUAAAGUUAGCCACGUGUGGUUAUUUGUAGGUACUGUAUGAAUAAGGACCGGCUAAUUCCGUGCCAGCCGCCGCUGUAA